CAAAACCGCUGAGAACUGUGCUGCACUGUCUCAUACCAGCUGCGCCAACUUUCUUGGCUGUGAAGAGGAAAUCGAACAUCGACUCCCUACCCAACAGAUGAAUGUUUCCCUGUGUCCACGAGGUUUGGCUCUGCAGGGGACUGCCAAACAGUACAAGAGGAUGAGACAGAAUCAGUCUGUGCUGGUGGAUUGCAGAAAUAAAGCAAGAGUGCAAGCAAGUCUCUAGGAACAGGCCUGGAGCAUUACCUUCGGAAAAGCUGAGAGGACAGGUGAUUCACCUUAGGGGAACCCCAAAUCCUAUUGGAGCCAAAUGGAUAUCCUCAUGGACACCAAGGAAAGAAAGCUUAACUUUAAAAAUAAAAAGAU